rnacentral:lncRNA from 1 species
AAUGAAGGAAGUUUCUUUUGCAGACCCUUGGGCCUUCCUACAAAAUUUUUCUCAAACUCAGUUGGAGGUGUGCUCUCAUUAUAACUUUUCUCAAACUCAAUCAAAGGCGUGUUCUCAUUCUUCUCCACCAUCUCAAACCAACAUGAAGAGAAGCUGGUCACAAGACUUGCUUUACAACUUCUACUCCGUCUUAACUUGUAGAUCAAGGGAGUGGGCAUCUCUUUCUCUGGGAGCCAUUGAGAUAUCUUUUCAGGAGAUGGAAUUACAAAACCUUUAUGGUUCAAUAGGGGAGACUGCAUUUCUUUAUUGGUGCCAUCUCCAUUCUCAACCAGCGUCAAUCCUGAGGUAGCUGUGUUUGCUGCAGGAGAUGACUGAUUUGAGUUUUGGUAUCUGCUUCUGCUUGAAUCUGAUAUAUGUGAUGCUACAUAUCUGUUUGUGUGUGAUUCUUCCAUUUCAAUGCACCGAACUUCCUUGCAAACAUCCUCCGAAUUUACAUCAGACUGUUCUUUGUUCUCCUCCUGAUGCAGAUUUGCAUCAAUGGAAUUAGGAAAACUAACAGACAACUGGCUGGACGAGAACGUGUGUGGGAUCAGGAAAUUUUCCUCAAAGUCCGGAAGUUGGAGUAAAGUAUCAUCAGAACUAGUCCUGCUGUCUACAUCUGAAUACUGAGAUGUGCCAAAAGAUCUAACACUGCCUCGGCGAUGGUGAGAACCAGCCAGACCAGGUAUUCCUGAUGGUUGAAUUUCAAUGUUUUCCCAUGAAGUUCGCACUCGCAAUUUGGGGUAAUAACGAUCCAUAUCCGCCUACAUUAAUACGAAAACAAACUGAACUUAGUACAGGCAACAUAUAUUGAAGGAAAUUGGCUUCUUCAGUUUAGAAACACAUACUGGUGAUGGUUUAUCAUCUUCAAGCACUCGUACCAGAUCCUUAACCUGAGACUGAGCAAGGUCUCGUUGCAGGGUCAGCUCUGACACCUCUUUCUUAAGCUGCAAGGUGGGAGAAAAAACCCCCAAAGAUCCAGGUUAUAAACAGAAGAAUAAUAACAAACUAUGGUUUAUAACAAGGUAUGCACUAGAUAAAGACAUCCAGAUAUUCACACUUAAAAGAAGUCAAGAAUCACGACGCAGAACAAAAGCAGAUAACAUUCAUUUAUAAAUCCUCUUGAUCAAAAUUUAGAAAGACCGGAAUUUUUUUUUUUUGAAACUCUUUGCAUGUUAAAUAUAAAUUUCACAUUCCAUUAUUAUCAUUAAUGACUUGAACCUUUCUGUUAGAUUCUUUAGUGAUCAUUGUUGCUGGUCUCUGAAUUGUGCUCCUUUUUUCCCGUUUCGGAUAUUUUUCACCAUUAUUGAUGACUUAUAUGCACGAUUUAACAUUCACUAUACUGAACUAAAACAGCAUUUAAUAAGAAGAAUAAAUGAAUAACUAUUAAACUAAAGUUAAUGAAAUAAAUGACAAAUGAAACCUUUUCAGUUAGUACAUAGCAUCUUAUGAUUAAAAAUAGAAUUGAGUAGAGGUUGUAGGAUAGAUGUGAAUGUACUUUAAUUCAAAAGAUACCAACUUUAAUAGUAGAUCAGCUACCUUUUCAAUUUGAAGAUCUUUUUCUCUCAGUAGUGUAGAAGAAUCAGCUGGAACAGUUUUUGGUCCGGAAGAUUUCAACUCAUUCUCUAAUUUAGCCAAUUCUUUUUGCAAAUGCUUCACCAAUGUUUUAUCUGACAUGACUACAUUAACCUGAGCAUUUGUUGUCACUUCUUUAGCACAACUUGCAAACAAAAGGGUGUUUCUUGAUUGCUCGACAUGGCUAUGUGCAGGACUCAAAUUACAGAUGAUGGCAGUUCUAGCAUUUCCUCCCAAGGAGGACUGCAGUAUGCGAGUUAGCUUUGAAUCUCGGUAAGGAAUAUGCCCAUUUCUUCCCUUGCUGCAUGAAAUAUGAGUUGAACAGCUUAGUAAUAGAUACAUUUCUUCUUACACUAGAACUUAGAAAAAAAAAAAUCAUGCAAAAUAAAAAUGAAGGCUCAAAACUACAUUUGCACAAAGUAGGAUAGGUUAGGCAAAGACUGUAGUUGAAAUGACAAAGUGAAAAAACAAGCUACAGAAGCUCACCUCAGCUUACGGACAACAGUGCCAAGAGUUAGUAAACUGCGAUUUAUGUGGCAACCCUCUUUCAACCUUGUGCCAGCUGAUAAUGUCUGGGAUGCACGCUCACUUCCAGCAAGAUCAACAAAGUUCUGCACAAAAAAAAAAAAAGGAAUUGAAUUAUUCAUUCUGUGGUUAUCCGGUAUUCAUAGUCUUUUAGUCGCCCAAGGGGGAAAAAUAGUCUUUAACUUUUGUUAUUUCUAUCUACCUUAAAAAAGAAAAAGAAAAAAAGCAAUGACAAAAAUCUUACCACCAUAGCAGUAAGGGAGCUUGACUUGUCAUAGCCAAGGAACUCACGUGCUGAACUUUCUAUUACCUGAUUAACCACAAAAGUGUUCACGUAAAGAUACAUAGUUGUUAGGCAAAUAGACAUUGCUCAAACCAAAUAGAUGUCUAAGGAAACCAGCAUACCAAUCUGAGAAUCUGAUGUGAUCUAGAGCUUGCUUCAUUUAAAGAUGUUUCUCCUAUUUGCCUUUGUGCUGUGAAUCGGAGGAAGGCAUUGUUUAGGUGUGUAGACAUAGCUAUCAGGUGAAAGAAAUAUUGGCUUAACCCAUCCUUACCUUCGCAGACAGAUAGAAGUUCUCUGAAAUGAUUCCAGUCCCUUAGAGUUUCCUCUGUAAGUCUUUCAACAAUUGUACCUCUCUACAAAAAGAUUAAAAUUAAUACGAAAGCCUUACAUGUAGCAGUUCCAUAGCAUAUUGGAAAUGACAGUAACCUCAGGAUCAUCCAGUAGCCUAAGGGGAGUGGUAUCUGCACUAAGGAGGUCUCUAACAGAUUCGUUGUAGAUCUCCAAAGCAGAAAACUUUAAAACAAAUUCUCUCUCCUGAUGCUACAUACAACAAAGAGUAUUGCGUCAAGGAUAAAAAAAACCAAGGAGCAUAAUCAGAUUCAGAUACAUAAUAAAGAAACACUACCGAUAUAUAAAGCAAAAUACCUUAUCUAUGUAGUCAUAUAUAUCUGCAACAGCGUACUCGGUGAUUCCACUCAUGGUGUAUGUCUUUCCACUGCUUGUUUGUCCAUAUGCAAAAAUACUUGCUGAAAGAAGACAAUCAUGAGAUGGAUGAAUACAUAUUUUUGAAGUUACAAGAAAUUGUAUGAAAUUAAAUACCGUGAAAAUAAAAUAAAUUGUACUGUACUUACAGUUUAUACCACUGGCAACUGAAAGAGCAACUUUCUUGGCUCCAUCUUCAUACACCCGCCUUGUGGAGCAAUCAUUACUAAAUACUCUGUCUGGUAUCAAGAAAGGAAAAGAAAUAAACGUUAGAAGACUAAAACGGAUCCAGACUAAUCACAUUUCAAAUCUGAAUCCAUGUCAUGAUAGUAACAUUAUCAGCUGUACAAAAUACUUUACCAACAAAUAUUUAAGAAGGUUCUUGAAAUGAUCUCAGAAAAAAAAGGGGGAUGAACCCAGAAAACUAGACACAAAUUUAUAACCACAAACAGACUAUUGAAAUUGCAGAAGUUUCUGAAACCCUGAGCAUUGGAAUAGUUCAACCAAUAUGUUUUUAUAAAAAUGGUGUAAUAAUAUUGCAGGGGGUUCAGAAAGUGUACAGGCCUGACCAUGAUGAACAUGCCAGCUAUAUCUCAAA